rnacentral:misc_RNA from 1 species
AAGUCGUAACAAGGUUUCCGUAGGUGAACCUGCGGAAGGAUCAUUAUUGAAAACAAGGGUGUCCAAUUUAACUUGGAACCCAAACUUCUCAAUUCUAACUUUGUGCAUCUGUAUUAUUGGCGAGCAACUUCGGUUGUGAGCCUUCACUUACAAAACACUAGUCUAUGAAUGUAAAAUUUUUAUAACAAAUAAAAACUUUCAACAACGGAUCUCUUGGCUCUC